UACGUAGGGUGCAAGCGUUAAUCGGAAUUACUGGGCGUAAAGCGUGCGCAGGCGGCUUUGCAAGACAGAUGUGAAAUCCCCGGGCUCAACCUGGGAACUGCAUUUGUGACUGCAAGGCUAGAGUACGGCAGAGGGGGAUGGAAUUCCGCGUGUAGCAGUGAAAUGCGUAGAUAUGCGGAGGAACACCAAUGGCGAAGGCGACCACCUGGACUGAUACUGACACUGAGGUGCGAAAGCGUGGGGAGCAAACAGG
rnacentral:rRNA from 1 species